rnacentral:rRNA from 1 species
CCCUGUACGCGAAAAUCUCUUAGUCAUGAAAUCGAGUAGGACGGAGCACGAGAAACUUUGUCUGAAUAUGGGGGGACCAUCCUCCAAGGCUAAAUACUCCUGACUGACCGAUAGUGAACCAGUACCGUGAGGGAAAGGUGAAAAGCACCCCGAUGAGGGGAGUGAAACAGUACCUGAAACCGAAUGCCUACAAGCAGUUGGAGGGUCCUAGAGGCCUGACAGCGUACCUCUUGCAUAAUGGGUCUGUGACUUAAUCUAUCAAGCAAGCUUAAGCCGUUAGGUGUAGGCGCAGCGAAAGCGAGUCUGAAUAGGGCGAAUGAGUAUGUGGUCGUAGACCCGAAACCAGGUGAUCUACCCAUGUCCAGGGUGAAGGUGAGGUAACACUUACUGGAGGCCCGAACCCACGCACGUUGAAAAGUGCGGGGAUGAGGUGUGGGUAGCGGAGAAAUUCCAAUCGAACUUGGAGAUAGCUGGUUCUCUCCGAAAUAGCUUUAGGGCUAGCCUCACGUUGUAAGAGUCUUGGAGGUAGAGCACUGUUUGGACUAGGGGCCCUCAUCGGGUUACCGAAUUCAGACAAACUCCGAAUGCCAAAGACUUAUCCGUGGGAGUCAGACUGCGAGUGAUAAGAUCCGUAGUCAAAAGGGAAACAGCCCAGACCACCAGCUAAGGUCCCAAAGUUUACGUUAAGUGGAAAAGGAUGUGGAGUUGCUUAGACAACCAGGAUGUUGGCUUAGAAGCAGCCACCAUUUAAAGAGUGCGUAAUAGCUCACUGGUCGAGUGACUCUGCGCCGAAAAUGUACCGGGGCUAAACGUAACACCGAAGCUGUGGAUUGACAUCUACGAUGUCAGUGGUAGGAGAGCGUUCUAAGGGCGUUGAAGCUAGACCGUAAGGACUGGUGGAGCGCUUAGAAGUGAGAAUGCCGGUAUGAGUAGCGAAAGACGGGUGAGAAUCCCGUCCACCGUAUGCCUAAGGUUUCCUGAGGAAGGCUCGUCCUCUCAGGGUUAGUCGGGACCUAAGCCGAGGCCGAAAGGCGUAGGCGAUGGACAACAGGUUGAUAUUCCUGUACCACCUCUUUAUCGUUUGAGUGAUGGGGGGACGCAGGAGGAUAGGGUAAGCGCGCUGUUGGAUAUGCGCGUCUAAGCAGUUAGGCUGGUAAGUAGGAAAAUCCGCUUACCGUAAAGGCUGAGCUGUGACAGCGAGGGAAAUAUAGUACCGAAGUUCCUGAUUCCACACUGCCAAGAAAAGCCUCUAGCGAGAUAAAAGGUGCCCGUACCGCAAACCGACACAGGUAGGCGAGGAGAGAAUCCUAAGGUGUGCGAGAGAACUCUCGUUAAGGAACUCGGCAAAAUGACCCCGUAACUUCGGGAGAAGGGGUGCUUUUUGAGGUGAAUAGCCUCGAAGAGCCGCAGUGAAUAGGCCCAGGCGACUGUUUAGCAAAAACACAGGUCUCUGCGAAGCCGCAAGGCGAAGUAUAGGGGCUGACGCCUGCCCGGUGCUGGAAGGUUAAGAGGAGGGGUUAGCGCAAGCGAAGCUCUGAAUCGAAGCCCCAGUAAACGGCGGCCGUAACAAUAACGGUCCUAAGGUAGCGAAAUUCCUUGUCGGGUAAGUUCCGACCCGCACGAAAGGCGUAACGAUCUGGGCACUGUCUCAACGAGAGACUCGGUGAAAUUAUAGUACCUGUGAAGAUGCAGGUUACCCGCGACAGGACGGAAAGACCCCGUGGAGCUUUACUGUAGCCUGAUAUUGAAUUUUGGUACAGCUUGUACAGGAUAGGUAGGAGCCUGAGAAGCCGGAGCGCUAGCUUCGGUGGAGGCGUCGGUGGGAUACUACCCUGGCUGUAUUGAAAUUCUAACCCGCACCCCUUAUCGGGGUGGGAGACAGUGUCAGGUGGGCAGUU